rnacentral:rRNA from 1 species
GAUGAACGCUAGCGGCAGGCCUAAUACAUGCAAGGCGAGGGGUUGGCAACAACACCGUCGUACGGGUGCGUAACGCGUAUGCAACCUACCUAUCACAGGGGGAUAGCCUUUGGAAACAGGGAUUAAUACCGCAUAAAGCAGGGGCUUGGCAUCAAGAUACUGCUAAAGAUUUAUCGGUGAUAGAUGGGCAUGCGUCUGAUUAGUUAGAUGGUGAGGUAACGGCUCACCAUGACGAUGAUCAGUAGGGGGCGUCAGAGCGUGGUCCCCCACACUGGCACUGAGAUACGGGCCAGACUCCUACGGGAGGCAGCAGUAGGGAAUAUUGGGCAAUGGAUGCAAGUCUGACCCAGCCAUGCCGCGUGGAGGAAGAAGGUCCUCUGGAUUGUAAACUCCUUUUGUCGGGGAAGAAGAGUCAUCUUGCGAGGUGAUGUGACGGUACCCGAUGAAUAAGCCACGGCUAACUACGUGCCAGCAG